rnacentral:rRNA from 1 species
UGGGGAAUCUUGCACAAUGGGGGCAACCCUGAUGCAGCGACGCCGCGUGAGCGAUGAAGGUUUUCGAAUCGUAAAGCUCUGUCCUAUGGGAAGAUAAUGACGGUACCAUAGGAGGAAGCCCCGGCUAACUACGUGCCAGCAGCCGCGGUAAUACGUAGGGGGCGAGCGUUGUCCGGAAUUACUGGGCGUAAAGGGUUCGCAGGCGGCAUGGCAAGUCCGAUGUAAAAGGCAAAGGCUCAACCUUCGUAAGCAUCGGAAACUGUCAAGCUUGAGUGAAGGAGAGGCAAGUGGAAUUCCUAGUGUAGCGGUGGAAUGCGUAGAUAUUAGGAGGAAUACCGGUGGCGAAGGCGACUUGCUGGACUUCAACUGACGCUGAGGAACGAAAGCGUGGGUAGCAAACAGG